UAACACAUGCAAGCUUAAUCAUCAUGUUCUUCUAUAUAAAGAUAGCAAACGGGUGAGUAUGGCGUACAAACUAACCUAGAAAUUUAGUUAAAAACUUCAAAAUUUAUUUGUUUUUAGAAAGGUCUACGUAAAAUUAAGUACUUGGUUAGAUUAAAUCCUUACCAAGCUUAUGAUUUUUAGUUGGUCUAUGAGGAUGAACAGCCACAUUGGAAUUGAGAUAUGGUCCAAACUCUAUAUUAAGAGGCAGCAGUGGGGAAUAUUGGGCAAUGAAUAAUAGUUUGACCCAGCUAAGUCAUGUGUAUGAUGAAGAUGUUUGAUUGUAAAGUACUUUUGUGAGUUAUAAUAAUGAUUGAUUUUUGAAUAAACCCUGGCUAAUUUCGUGCCAGCAGCCGCGGUAAAACGAGAAGGGUUAGUGUUAUUCAGAUUAACUGGGCGUAAAGUAUAUGUAGGCGGAAAAUUAACUAGUGAUCUACAUCUUUAAUUUUAUUUUUAAAGGCAUCA
rnacentral:rRNA from 1 species